rnacentral:rRNA from 1 species
AGAGUUUGAUCCUGGCUCAGGAUGAACGCUGGCGGCGUGCUUAACACAUGCAAGUCGAACGAAGCACUCUAUUUGAUUUCCUUCGGGAUUGAAGAUUUUGUGACUGAGUGGCGGACGGGUGAGUAACGCGUGGGUAACCUGCCUCAUACAGGGGGAUAACAGUUGGAAACGACUGCUAAUACCGCAUAAGCGCACAGGAUCGCAUGAUCCGGUGUGAAAAACUCCGGUGGUAUGAGAUGGACCCGCGUCUGAUUAGCCAGUUGGCAGGGUAACGGCCUACCAAAGCGACGAUCAGUAGCCGACCUGAGAGGGUGACCGGCCACAUUGGGACUGAGACACGGCCCAAACUCCUACGGGAGGCAGCAGUGGGGAAUAUUGCACAAUGGGGGAAACCCUGAUGCAGCGACGCCGCGUGAGCGAAGAAGUAUUUCGGUAUGUAAAGCUCUAUCAGCAGGGAAGAAGAAUGACGGUACCUGACUAAGAAGCACCGGCUAAAUACGUGCCAGCAGCCGCGGU